GGAGUUUGGACCGUGUCUCAGUUCCAAUGUGGCCGAUCACCCUCUCAGGUCGGCUACUGAUCGUCGCCUUGGUGGGCCGUUACCUCACCAACCAGCUAAUCAGACGCGAACUCACCCCGAACCGGAUCGCCCCUUUGACCCCUGGACGAUGCCGCCCUGUGGUCUUAUGCGGUAUUAGCACCUGUUUCCAAGUGUUAUCCCCCUGUCCGGGACAGAUUGUUCACGCGUUACUCACCCGUCCGCCGCUAGAAUAUACCGGAAUCCUGCCGAAGCUCUCAUCCAAUAUAUCCCCGCUCGACUUGCAUGUGUUAGGCACGCCGCCAGCGUUCGUCCUCGAGCCACGGAUCAAACUACU
rnacentral:rRNA from 1 species